GUGCUUGGUUUGACAGUUUGAUUCUUAAAAUCUGGACAGUGCAGAAAAGAUUAGCAUGGCUCCUGCUCACAGAUGACAUACAAAUUUGUGAUGCCUUCCAUAUUAAA